rnacentral:snoRNA from 1 species
ACCAUCUCAAGAUCGGAUCUGGAGAGUUUCCAUUACUCUACCAGUCUUGGCUAAGGGAGGGAGAGUCAAGCAGAGGCAGACCCAUUCCAUUCCUAGCUUCGGCAGUGGCUAGAGAGCGGAAGACAAUCUGCUACAAGU